rnacentral:lncRNA from 1 species
AGACUAAUCCAGGCAACCGUAUACUUAGCGAGCACGAGUAUUUAGGAAAAUAAGAAGAAGCCAUCAGAGGACCGCAAUUAAACUGCCAUUCUCCCAGGCUCCACCUGCACCCAGACUGCAGUCGCAACGAUUCUCCACUUGAUGGCUGGUUGUGUCACUGCUAGUCGACAGCUGUCCCUGCAUCCAGAGAGGACUGGGAAGGAUUUAGGUCAGUGAGUCUGGUUUCUCCUUUGAAACCAUGUUCUAACUGAGGAAUGGGGAUCUGUGCCUGGCCCCGCGACCAGCCUGAACUGGAAGCUAGGCGAGUCACACAGCAUCAGUUCAGCGGAGGUUGCCCGCCCAGGCCCCAGCCAGACAAACCGUGGCAAGCAGCAUCUCCUUUGUCCUAGCCUUUAUUCCUGCAGAUAGAGCGGCGCAGUAUGAGAAGCCCGCAAACUAUUCCCACAAGUGCCGGGGACCCAGCCGCGCCGCACCAGGGGCAGCCUGGCCACCGGGCUCCGAGCAGUACCUGCUCUGCUGGAAAUUCACGCUGCCAAGUGUGAAGCCAUCCUGUACCUUCAGAUUGCUUCUCUGCUCCUGGCUAAACAAAGGUAAAUACUCCUCACGUAAGACAUGUCAAGUAGCAGCAGGAAAAGAACACUUUCAAACUCUUGUCGCUUUUUGCUUAGUGGUGUGCGUUGUGAUGAGGAAACGGCAGGAGCCUGGGCUGGGGCAGUGGCGAUGAUGCAGCAGUCAGCUGACUCGCAGGGGGUGAUCGUUCAAUGUCCUCUACAGAAGCGGGCCAGUUUCUAAAGUGGCACCAGUCAGACGACCUUGACCGUGAAGCCGAGCUUCAGGAGGCCCGCCAUUCACCGUCCCCACCUGGCAGUGCUACCCCCACACCUGGCAGGAACGUUUCACAUCGUGUGUCUCUCAGGCAGAGUUUUUAACUCGCAGGCUUCAGGACUUAACUAUUUCUAUCCUGCUUGCUAAAAUGCACCCUGUGUUGGGGCUCUCUGCUCACCUAGCAUCCUCCUCGGUGGACAGAGUUCUUCGAGGGCAGGGGACAUUUAUCUUGACGGCCCCAGUGCCUUCACGCUGCCUGGCAAGUGGUAUGUCUUCAGCGCUUCUGAAAAGAUGAGGGAAGGCCAAUGGAUGUCUUCCUGUUAGAGAAGACAGCUCGGCAAUAUCCGAGUUUCUAAAACAAGAAUGUCAAGCUUUCCCUUUGUUGUAGACUGUCCUGAAAUAACAUGUUUCACAUUGACUAAAAGACUAUUCACUUGCAACUAUAAAAUGAACUCCAAGUCCAGGGAGCAAAGACUUUUAAAAGGGGGGGAUAGGAGUUCCCAUUGUGGCUCAGUGGCUAAGGAAUGUGACUAGGAACCAUGAGGUUGCAGGUUCGAUCCCUGGCCUUGCUCAAUGGGUUAAGGAUCCGGUGUUGCCGUGAGCUGUGGUGUAGGUUGCAGACACGGCUCGGAUCCUGCAUUGCUGUGGCUCUGGCGUAGGCCGGCAGCUACAGCUCUGAUUAGACACCUAGCCUGGGAACCUCCAGAUGCCGUGGGUGUGGCCCUAGAAAAGGCAAAGAGUCAAAAAAGGGGGGGGGGGAGAUAUAUGGAAAAAUGAAUGACAUGCUUUAUGAAAGUCAAUCAAAAUCCCAUUAGUAGCUAAUGGCUAUUAAAUUUUAGUUAAAUUUAGAUAUUUAUUCAGAAAAGUAAGGCACAUAUUUUAUUUUCCUUUUCAUUUUGGAGACUGAGGCCAAUGAGUGGUGGCUCUUUGUGCCUAUGUAAGAAAUCUGCCCUCUCCUAGCGCAGAUGAGGGGAAAAUUCUGUUCCUGAGCCCUUCUGGAAAUCUCCAUUUAGAUAUGUGCAUGUCUUUUUUUUUUUCUUUUUGCUAUGCACUCUCUGAUAGUCUUAUGAAGUUUAUGAAUCACUUCUCCACAGUGCUUUUAUAUGCAUAUACAAUAUAAUAAGUAGGAUUACAACGAAAACUAAUUGUCUUAAAUAUGUUAGCUGAAGAACCUUUGCCUAAGAAAAUCAAAAUACUUCCAAGGUGAAAUUGCAAAAUCAUUUUGAUUGUCUCUCUUCCAACGAUUACCCAAUAAGAAAGUGUUCACGAAGAGCCUAGACAAGAUAGAGGGGUAAGGAAGGAAACAGAUGACUAUAUUUAUUAAAUUUCAUUAAGCUUGAAACAGAAUGUUUCUUCUCAAAAGUGACCUUUUUAGUGCCUAGCAGAUUCCCCAUUUUCACAUUAAAAAAAAAAAAAAAUUAUACUUUCCAAACUGUCAAGUCACAUUAUAGAGACUGUUCCUGAGGGGGGAAAAAAAAAAAAGGUGGGAAGGAGUUCCUGUUGUGGCUCAGCAGUAACAAACCUGGCUAGUAUCCAUGAAGAUGUGGGUUUGAUCCCUGGCCUCGAUUUUGGUUAAGGAUCCGGCAUUGCCAUGAGCUGUGGUAUAGGUCACAGACAUGGCUUGGAUCUGGCGUUGGUGGUGUAGUCUGAUGGCUGCGGCUCUAGUUUGACCCCUAGCCUGGGAAUUUCCAUAUGCAGUGGGUGUGGCCCUAAAAAGCAAAAAAAAAAAAAAAAAAAAAAAAAAAAAAAAGGAAGGGAAUUGAUUCCCCUAUUCUCCCAUUUUUUAUUUUACUGAUGAGGGAAGGCAUGGAAGUUCAAAAACGUUGAGUCCUAUUACUCAAUAGCAUGUGAGUAAAAAGGGAAUAGAGUCCAGGACCCAAGUCUCCUAAACCUAUGGCCUUUGGUACGCAAGGAUGCUAAAAGCUGGGUACCUGAAAUCAACCAUACUGGGAAUAUUUACAUUGUGUGAAUGGACAAAUGCUAAAAAUGUAGGGUUGUUGUCUUUUCUGAAGAGUUGGUGUACAAGUCGUAAUACCUUUAAUUAUGCCAACUUGUAAUCAUAUGUUUCUUUGUUUCAAACCCAGAAUCCCAAAUGCUUAAGAAGAUAAAGCACAAUGGUUAAGUAUGAAGCACUCAGGUUAGUGGGGCCGUCUCUGAAUAGACCCUCUUGACCACUGAUUAUCUAUGUGACCUUGAACAAGCUCACUCCCCUAUGGGUCUCAACUCCUCUUCUAUAAAACAGGGCUAAUAAUACUGUGCGUUAUGUAUAUUCGUGAAGUGGUGCAUCCAAACCACUUAGUGUGGAUUCGCACACUGGUUAAGCUUCCAGUGGCUGUCAGUCAUGAUUAUUUUCCCCUUCUUCCUCCUCCUCCUCCUCCUUUCUCUUAUUCAACUGGUCAUCAUGGCAGAUUGACAUUAUUUGCUCUGAAAUAAAUGAGGAUAUUUUUAAGAGAUUAUAGGCAAAAAAACACAACCAAAAAAGUCAUAUACAAGCAACUUAGGAUUCUUGAAAAUGGAGGAUUACCCUGUGGGUAAUAGAGAUUUGAAGGGCAGGUGUUAUUUUUGCAUGAACUGUAGAAUCUAAGAAAGUAUCACAAUUCAAUGGAGAAAUUAUUGAUGGACAUAUUUUCAGCAUGACUGAGAGAUUUUAGAGAAGCUGAAUUAAAACCAGACACUGUAGUAGGGAUCAACAUACACAGGAUGUGCAAUCAGACCUCUUGCUUCUCCAGCCACGUAGCCUUGUGAGUGUGUUUGGACUCAGAGAGUCUAACAGCCAAUUUACAAACCUGCUGGGACAUACUGUAUUUUUCAGGAUUAAGAAUUCCUCUCUUCAUAAGAUUGAGUUUCAGGGGAAGACACUUUGCCUAGGGGCUGGGGCAGACUAGUCCACGGAUGCCAAGGAAUUGGAACACCGAGUCAGCUCUAUCCAGAGGGUUUCAAGCCAAGGAGACAUCUCCCCUCCCCCUUUUCUGCUGGCAUUGGCAUGACCUUGGGAUGUCACAGGUCUGUCCCAUCCUUGGGACUCUCUGCAAUCAGAGUGUUACUGAACACAGGACCACCAUUCUAGGGAGAGGGUAGCAGCUGAGAAGAGGUGAGGGCAGAACAAUGCUUACUUCUACCCAUCCCAGCCCAACCACAAAAGAGCAAAAAGAGAACUGCGUUAUCACGAUGGUGCCCUAGGCUCAAAAAAAAUCCCAAGGGAAUAUAAAACAAAUUGGUGCAGUUCUCAUCGACUGCAUGUUACAAGUCGUUAAGUUCUAUCAAUUAAAGGAAGGAUGAGUCCUCAGACUCUCCUUGCACCCCCUCCUCCUUCCGUGGGUGGUGGGUCUCCUAACCACCUACUUUGGACUUGCUCAUUUUUAGCGCUGAGGGUCCACCCCCAGAAAAUGCCAUCCGAUAUGACAAUAGGAACUCGCCAAAUAUCAGGCUGUGACCCAAGAGACAUCAGCCUACCAGGCCCCGAAAAAAAAAAAAAAAAAAAAAAAAAAAAGGUGUUUUAACCCAAAUACCAAUCCUGUAUAAUAAAAGAACCACAAAAAGAAUAAAAGCAAUUCCCACUUAGUCUACAGUAUGGCCCGUGCACAUGGCACAUGAUCAUCUCCCUAUCACAAGAAAAAUAAUCAGACACACACAGGGGUUUCUAUGGCCAGAAUUCUAUGUUUUACAUAUAAUAAUAAUUCAUUUAUCACCCAGAGCAGCACUAUAAGGAAAUUUUAAUCCUAUUAUGUUCCUUUUACAACCCAAAGCUUAAAGACAUGAGUGUUAUUCAAACCAUACAUCUGGUAAAUACAGGCUUGUGGAUUCAAAGCCAGGUUGCCUGAUCUGGGUUCAAAUUCAAAUCUAUUUAUAUUCAAAUACAGGCUUCUUCCAAAUUAAUGUUCAGUUGUGAUAGUCUCUUGAGUGGGUUGGAAGAGCCUAGAGAAAGAAGGGGAAAAAAAAAUGGAACCCAGACUUGGAGUCACCCAGGGGAAGUGUGAAAGUCUAAGAGUUGGUGAAUAGGGAGACCCCCCCAUCCCACACAAAUUAGUAGAAAACUGGGCUUUUCAUUAUUGUGUUCCUUAAAUGAUAUUUGAACACAGUAGCAUGCUGGUAAAUUGGCUUGCGUGGGGGUGGGGAUUUUAAAGGCUUGUACUGUUUGUCAAUUUUCAUGGUGUAAAUACUCCCACCAUAGUUGAUUUCAAGGUUUCAACAGUAACAACCUGUUUCAAUGAUUCCUGAAUAUUUAACAAUUGGUUCUUGCUAGAUAGCUGGAGCUGCCCUCAGCACAUCACAGUUUGGGCCCAAGCAAUGGAUUCCCCUGCCACCUCCAGAAGCCAUAUCAUUUUAGAAUGCCUCUACUUUCAGGACAGCCUUCCUCUUUCUGGUUAAACUCUAGUUCUCGGAUGCUUCAAGGUCUUAGAUUACCUCCUGUAUCUUUCUUGCUCUCCCUCUCAAACUGUGUGCUUGUACUUUUUGUAUUUAAUGAAACAUGUUUUUACGUUUGUGGUUCUUGAUUUUAAAGGAAGAUGAGACAUUUACAUUGCUCUUCCUUUGACUGUCUAAUAAACCUAAGAAAUGUGUGUAGCUUUU